rnacentral:rRNA from 1 species
CCUACGGGCGGCAGCAGUGAGGAAUAUUGGUCAAUGGGCGCGAGGCUGAACCAGCCAAGUCGCGUGAGGGAAGACUGCCCUACGGGUUGUAAACCUCUUUUAUCAGGGAGUAAAGUGAGUCACGUGUGCCUUUUUGUGUGUACCUGAUGAAUAAGCAUCGGCUAACUCCGUGCCAGCAGCCGCGGUAAUACGGAGGAUCCGAGCGUUAUCCGGAUUUAUUGGGUUUAAAGGGAGCGGAGAGGGGUUGUGAAGUCAGGUGUGAAAGUUUGCGGCUCAACCGUCAAAUUGCAAUUGAAACUGGAAGCCUUGAGUACAGUUGAGGGAGGCGGAAUGCGUGGUGUAGCGGUGAAAUGCUUAGAUAUCACGAAGAACUCCGAUUGCGAAGGCAGCAUACCAGACUGCCACUGACAUUGAUGCUCGAAAGUGUGGGUAUCGAACAGGAUUAGAUACCCUUGUAGUC